GACGAACGCUGGCGGCGUGCUUAACACAUGCAAGUCGAACGGAAAGGCCCUGCUUUUGUGGGGUGCUCGAGUGGCGAACGGGUGAGUAACACGUGAGUAACCUGCCCUUGACUUUGGGAUAACUUCAGGAAACUGGGGCUAAUACCGGAUAGGAGCUCCUGCUGCAAGGGGGGGGUUGGAAAGUUUCGGCGGUUGGGGAUGGACUCGCGGCUUAUCAGCUUGUUGGUGGGGUAGUGGCUUACCAAGGCUUUGAAGGGUAGCCGGCCUGAGAGGGUGACCGGCCACAUUGGGCCUGAGAUACGGCCCAGACUCGUACGGGAGGCAGCAGUGGGGAAUAGUGCACAAUGGGCGGAAGCCUGAUGCAGCAACGCCGCGUGCGGGAUGACGGCCUUCGGGUUGUAAACCGCUUUCGCCUGUGACGAAGCGUGAGUGACGGUAAUGGGUAAAGAAGCACCGGCUAACUACGUG
rnacentral:rRNA from 1 species